rnacentral:rRNA from 1 species
ACGUAGGUGGCAAGCGUUGUCCGGAUUUACUGGGUGUAAAGGGCGUGUAGGCGGAGCUGCAAGUCAGAUGUGAAAUCUCCGGGCUUAACCCGGAAACUGCAUUUGAAACUGUAGCCCUUGAGUAUCGGAGAGGCAAGCGGAAUUCCUAGUGUAGCGGUGAAAUGCGUAGAUAUUAGGAGGAACACCAGUGGCGAAGGCGGCUUGCUGGACGACAACUGACGCUGAGGCGCGAAAGCGUGGGGAGCAAACAG